rnacentral:tRNA from 1 species
UGGCUCAGACGGUAAAGCAUCUGCCUGCAAUGCUGGAGACCCAGGUUCGAUCCCUGG